CUUACACUAUCUUGGGCAAGAAUCCGGAUCUCCAGCAGCACACCCCCAAAACCACGCCGGACUCGUUCUUGAUCUAACAACAACGGCAACCUCACUUGCACAUCGAAGCCAUGUUCAAAGCUCAAACAAACAAUGACAAGGUUCUAGAAAUCUGAUGGCGAAACUCGAAUCAACCAAAUUGGGAAAUGCAACCUUGUAUCAAGAUUGGAAUUUAGAAACUCCUCCGACGGCCGCAAGAAUCGACCCGGUCCAACUCCUUUAAUCUACGCCGUCGUCAUUGCUAUGUUCGGAAGAACUCGAAGAUUCUUGCGUUGGCGAUGGAGAAAGAACGGUUGUCUGGUUCUAUGCGCCGCGUAGAGAUGAAGAUGAAGGUUGUCUGGACGUGGACGAGUUAAUGUUUGGAUUUUAGAAUCAUGGAGUCUUCUUGAAAUGCUUGGUCAUGGAUAGCCCGAGUUUGGAUCUGUUGCAGGGAUGCUGGCUAUGGGAAAUUGGCUUGGUACCAGUCGCGAAAUGUGGAUUGGGAAUCACCGACUUGUGGCUUUUGGAUUGUGUUGCUGCAUUUCGGUUUGUGCAUGUUGCAGCUUUUGACUUGUUUGUAUAUGUUGGUUCUAUUUCAACGAACUCAUGUAGUCUUUGUUGAAGUUUGCAUACACUGUCCUCUGUCCUGCGAAGCUUUCUCCAUCUAUAGGUAGUCCAGAGACCAAAGCCACCAUAUACAACAAUAUAGGAAGCCCAUACAUAGGGAUAAGCUUCUGCAUGCUCUUUGAUUUUUUUGAUACCGUUGUUCCAGUGAAUCUAUAAAGCCCGCAACAGAAGGGACACAGAUUACUUGAUCCUCACCAGUUUUCUGGAUAAGUGCCGUAGAACUUAGCGCAUUAUUUGGUUGGUUUGCCAUGUUCUUAGCUUGAGUGUUCCAGGUUAUAUGGGUUACUAUUGUUUGGACCAAGGCUAUGGGAUUGAGCUUGGAGUCAUGGUCGAGCUGUGUGAAAUUGGAUGGCCAAGGUUCUUGUAAUCUUGCCAUUUGGAUUGAAAGUGAAUUGUAACUCGAAUUUGGUUUGAAAGUGUGAUGUGAAAUCUUGGUUUAGUGUUUAUAAAUCUCGUAACUUAGAAUUACGGUUGUGAAUUGCUUUGAAAUUAUGAACAUAUGUAAAUUGAAAUGUAUGGAAAGUUGGAAUUGAAUGAAAAAUUUGAAUUUGAGAUUA